CAUGCCCCUUAUACGCUGGGCUACACACGUGCUACAAUGGGUAGUACAGAGAGUCGCAAAGCCGUGAGGUGGAGCUAAUCUCAGAAAACUAUUCUUAGUUCGGAUUGUACUCUGCAACUCGAGUACAUGAAGUUGGAAUCGCUAGUAAUCGCGAAUCAGCAAUGUCGCGGUGAAUACGUUCUCGGGUCUUGUACACACCGCCCGUCACACCACGAGAGUUGGUUGCACCUGAAGUAGCAGGCCUAACCGUAAGGAGGGAUGCUCCGAGGGUGUGAUUAGCGAUUGGGGUGAAGUCGUAACAAGGUAUCCGUACGGGAACGUGCGGAUGGAUCACCUCCUUUSUAAGGAGAAAAUGUCUUUCUCUAUUCUAUUGGUAAUGUUCUUUACAUUACUUCUGAACAUUGGAAACUAUAUAGUAGAACAAACAAGAAAACAAAAUUAACUCUAACAAUUUCUUAGAGUUAGCUGUCAAAAAAAUAGAUUAAAAUAAUUAAGGGCACACAAAGGAUGCCUUGGUAGUAAGAGCCGAUGAAGGACGUGGUAAGCUGCGAUAAGCCUAG
rnacentral:sRNA from 1 species